AGGAUUUCUGAAACUAUGAAGGGGAUUCCAGGGGUGGUGGCGGCAGUUACCUUCAGUGUGCCAUAUUCGGUCUCUGAAUUUUCAGUUCUUCCACAUUUGCCAGGUAUCUGCCCACAAAGAAAAUGCAGCUCACAGACCAAGAAGUAUUCUUCUAUUCCCACGGAGAAUUUCAAAGGGAAACUUUCUUUUAAAAU